rnacentral:ncRNA from 1 species
GGCUAGGGGUGUCCCUGUGUGGGGCUGAGAUGAAGGAACCCUCAUUACUUGAACCGGUUCAUACCGGCGUAAGGAAGCAGGAU